rnacentral:rRNA from 1 species
AGAGUUUGAUCCUGGCUCAGAUUGAACGCUGGCGGCAUGCCUUACACAUGCAAGUCGAACGGCAGCGCGGGGCAACCUGGCGGCGAGUGGCGAACGGGUGAGUAAUAUAUCGGAACGUGCCCUGGAGUGGGGGAUAACGCAGCGAAAGUUGCGCUAAUACCGCAUACGAUCUAAGGAUGAAAGCAGGGGACCGCAAGGCCUUGUGCUCCUGGAGCGGCCGAUAUCUGAUUAGCUAGUUGGUGGGGUAAAGGCCUACCAAGGCAUCGAUCAGUAGCUGGUCUGAGAGGACGACCAGCCACACUGGAACUGAGACACGGUCCAGACUCCUACGGGAGGCAGCAGUGGGGAAUUUUGGACAAUGGGCGAAAGCCUGAUCCAGCAAUGCCGCGUGAGUGAAGAAGG